rnacentral:rRNA from 1 species
GACGAACGCUGGCGGCGUGCCUAAUACAUACAAGUAGAACGCUGACUACUUUAGCUUGCUAGAGUAGAAGGAGUUGCGAACGGGUGAGUAACGCGUAGGUAACCUGCCUACUAGCGGGGGAUAACUAUUGGAAACGAUAGCUAAUACCGCAUAACAGUGUUUAACACAUGUUAGUUGCUUGAAAGAUGCUAUUGCAUCACUAGUAGAUGGACCUGCGUUGUAUUAGCUAGUUGGUGGGGUAACGGCCCACCAAGGCGACGAUACAUAGCCGACCUGAGAGGGUGAUCGGCCACACUGGGACUGAGACACGGCCCAGACUCCUACGGGAGGCAGCAGUAGGGAAUCUUCGGCAAUGGGGGCAACCCUGACCGAGCAACGCCGCGUGAGUGAAGAAGGUUUUCGGAUCGUAAAGCUCUGUUGUAAGAGAAGAACGUGUGUGAGAGUGGAAAGUUCACACAGUGACGGUAACUUACCAGAAAGGGACGGCUAACUACGUGCCAGCAGCCGCAGUAA